rnacentral:rRNA from 1 species
GCAUAUCAAUAAGCGGAGGAAAAGAAAAUAACAAUGAUUUCCCUAGUAACGGCGAAGUGAAGAGGAAAGAAGCUCAAAGUUGGAAACUGUUUGGCUUAGCUAAACCGUAUUGUAAACUGUAGAAACAUUUUCCUGGCACACCAGAUUAAUAAGUCCUUUGGAACAAGGCAUCAUGGAGGGUGAGAAUCCCGUCUUUGAUCUGAGUAGUUGUCUUUUGUGAUAUGUUUUCAAAGAGUCAGGUUGUUUGGGAAUGCAGCCUAAAUUGGGUGGUAAAUCUCACCUAAAGCUAAAUAUUUGCGAGAGACCGAUAGCGAACAAGUACCGUGAGGGAAAGAUGAAAAGAACUUUGAAAAGAGAGUUAAACAGUAUGUGAAAUUGUUAAAAGGGAACCGUUUGGAGCCAGACUGGUUUGACUGUAAUCAACCUAGAAUUCGUUUUGGGUGCACUUGCAGUCUAUACCUGCCAACAACAGUUUGAUUUGGAGGAAAAAAUUAGUAGGAAUGUGGCCUUUCGAGGUGUUAUAGCCUACUAUCAUACUCUGGAUUGGACUGAGGAACGCAGCGAAUGCCAUUAGGCGAGAUUGCUGGGUGCUUUCGCUAAUAAAUGUUAGAAUUUCUGCUUCGGGUGGUGCUAAUGUUUAAAGGAGGAACACAUCUAGUAUAUUUUUUAUUCGCUUAGGUUGUUGGCUUAAUGACUCUAAAUGACCCGUCUUGAAACACGGACCAAGGAGUCCACCAUAAGUGCAAGUAUUUGAGUGACAAACUCAUAUGCGUAAGGAAACUGAUUGAUACGAAGUCUUACGAUGGCAGUAUCACCCGGCGUUGACGUUUUAUACUGAACUGACCGAGGUAAAGCACUUAUGAUGGGACCCGAAAGAUGGUGAACUAUGCCUGAAUAGGGUGAAGCCAGAGGAAACUCUGGUGGAGGCUCGUAGCGAUUCUGACGUGCAAAUCGAUCGUCAAAUUUGGGUAUAGGGGCGAAAGACUAAUCGAACCAUCUAGUAGCUGGUUCUGCG